rnacentral:rRNA from 1 species
AUGUGACCUCAAAUCAGGUAGGACUACCCGCUGAACUUAAGCAUAUCAAUAAGCGGAGGAAAAGAAACUAACAAGGAUUCCCCUAGUAACUGCGAGUGAAGCGGGAAAAGCUCAAAUUUAAAAUCUGGCAGUCUUUUGGCUGUCCGAGUUGUAAUCUAGAGAAGUGUUAUCCGCGCUGGACC